rnacentral:lncRNA from 1 species
UCCAGGAGCGCGCUUGAGCGGACGCUGCCUACCGGUGGCCGGGCGGGAUGUAACCCGCUGCUGAGCUGGCAGCUCUGUGUCGCUAGGCUUCGGCCCGGCCGCCGCCGCACAUAAGCUGCGAGGAGGAGCUUUACGACUUCCCGGUCUUCGGGGCCGGGCGCAGCAAGGGCCAGACUCUGCGCUAGCAGGCGCUGCGCGCCAACCGGCCGGCACCUGUCGCAGAAGGUGCAACCGAUCGCACUGUCGCGCCGAAGCUCCUCAAUGGCCAGCGCCAGCUGCAGCCCCGGCCGCCCACUCGCCUCACCUGAGCCUGGGAGCUUGAAAAAUCACAUUUGAGAAGAGGAUUGGAUCCUAGCCAUAACAUAAAUAUAAGGGUGGAACCAAAGUUUUAAUCAAAGAAGGUGGUGUUCAGUUGCUGCUUACAAUAGUUGAUACCCCAGGAUUUGGAGAUGCAGUGGAUAACAGUAAUUGCUGGCAGCCUGUUAUCAAUUACAUUGAUAUUAAAUUUGAGGACUACCUAAAUGCAGAAUCGCGAGUGAACAGAUGUCAGAUGCCUGGUAACAGGGUGCAGUGUUGUUUAUACUUCAUUGCUCCUUCAGGACAUGGACCAUUACAUAACUGAAGACUCCCACCUUCAGGCAGGAUUGGGUAGUACGUGUUUGUAACUACCUGGCAUUGCCUUUUGUUGAGGAAGGGUAGAUGUCUACCCAAAUGGAAUAUUGAGUAUCAGAGACUUCAAAUGAUAACUUUUGUUUGUUUGGAGAAAAUCUUGAGGACGUGAUCACUGUACAAAAGCAUGGCAAAAUGAGGAAACCACUGACAGGUGAAGAAUUUGCACAAUGGAAAACCACCUUGACCAUCUCAUGACUUUAUACAGGAAUCGGAGACAUCCAAGGCCAUUCCAUUUCUAAAUCACACUUAUCCCUCAAUCAAGUCAGUGACUGGAUCAUCUCCUAAGGUUUCACCUGCUUUGCAUCAGGGCAGGGUUCCACUCCCAUUGCCCAGGCUGGAGUGCAGUGGCGUGAUCUUGGCUCACUGCAACCCCCUCCUCCCCUAUUCAAGCAAUUCUUCUGCCUCAGUCUUCUAAGUGGCUGGGACUACAAGCGCGUGCCACCACACCCGCGCUUAUAAUAGAAAAUAAUUUUUCUGUUUUUUUGUAGGGAUGGGGUUUCACCAUGUUGGCCAGGCUGGCCUCGAACUCCUGAGCUCAAGUGAUCAACCUGCCUCUGCCUCCCAAAGUGCUGGGAUUACAGGUUGAGUUGGACUAUGGAUCAGGUACUGUGCUCAGCAUCAGAAAAUGGGAUGACAAUGAACAGAGUAACAGGACUAUAUUUCUGAAAAAGGAUGAACUUACUGGAAACAGGAUUGCGUGCCUGAAAUAUAUCCAAAUGGAUAUAAAUGUCAACUCAGUUCUGGGCUGGAGAUAUAGAUUUGGAAUGCACCAACAAUGCAGAUGGUAAUCCUGGCAUGCGAGUAGGUGAGAUCAUCCAGGGAGAUGGCCUAUAAUGAGAGCCUACAACAUGUCAGGGCUCAAGCACCUCUUACUGCCUCCUCACUCUGGAACCAAAUGCCUUACUUGACAGGAUCACAGAAUGUGAAUUUUGAACAGAUCUGAAAAGUUAUUAAGUUCAACUCCACAGAGGUUCCUAGGAGAAUGUUAACAGUCCAGACCUUUUUCACUACAUCAACCACGGAUGAUUGGCAUAUAAAAUCCUACUUAACCUUUACAUAACUGCAAUACCAGGAAACAAAUAUGUCAAUAAAAGGAAACA